UUUACUAUAGCUUGACACUGAACAUUGAGCCUUGAUGUGUAGGAUAGGUGGGAGGCUUUGAAGUGUGGACGCCAGUCUGCAUGGAGCCGACCUUGAAAUACCACCCUUUAAUGUUUGAUGUUCUAACGUUGACCCGUAAUCCGGGUUGCGGACAGUGUCUGGUGGGUAGUUUGACUGGGGCGGUCUCCUCCUAAAGAGUAACGGAGGAGCACGAAGGUUGGCUAAUCCUGGUCGGACAUCAGGAGGUUAGUGCAAUGGCAUAAGCCAGCUUGACUGCGAGCGUGACGGCGCGAGCAGGUGCGAAAGCAGGUCAUAGUGAUCCGGUGGUUCUGAAUGGAAGGGCCAUCGCUCAACGGAUAAAAGGUACUCCGGGGAUAACAGGCUGAUACCGCCCAAGAGUUCAUAUCGACGGCGGUGUUUGGCACCUCGAUGUCGGCUCAUCACAUCCUGGGGCUGAAGUAGGUCCCAAGGGUAUGGCUGUUCGCCAUUUAAAGUGGUACGCGAGCUGGGUUUAGAACGUCGUGAGACAGUUCGGUCCCUAUCUGCCGUGGGCGCUGGAGAACUGAGGGGGGCUGCUCCUAGUACGAGAGGACCGGAGUGGACGCAUCACUGGUGUUCGGGUUGUCAUGCCAAUGGCACUGCCCGGUAGCUAAAUGCGGAAGAGAUAAGUGCUGAAAGCAU
rnacentral:rRNA from 1 species